GUGAGUGUAGCUCAGUUGGUUAGAGCACCGGAUUGUGGUUCCGGGGGCCGUGGGUUCGAAUCCCAUCAUUCACCCUA
rnacentral:tRNA from 2 species